GGAUGAUAAUCCGUUGACAGACAUUUUGGUUGUCCCUAGCCAGAAUGUCAAUAAUAGCCCUGCUCUAAAUGAAGCAGCAUCCACUCAUGGCGGAGUCGAAAAUGAAAGCCCAAACCAGGGUAAACUGCACUCUGUCACUGUGGAAGACCCUAAUGAAUG